rnacentral:rRNA from 1 species
CCUACGGGAGGCAGCAGUCGAGAAUCAUUCACAAUGGGGGAAACCCUGAUGGUGCGACGCCGCGUGGGGGAAUGAAGGUCUUCGGAUUGUAAACCCCUGUCAUGUGGGAGCAAAUUAAAAAGAUAGUACCACAAGAGGAAGAGACGGGUAACUCUGUGCCAGCAGCCGCGGUAAUACAGAGGUCUCAAGCGUUGUUCGGAAUCACUGGGCGUAAAGCGUGCGUAGGCUGUUUCGUAAGUCGUGUGUGAAAGGCGCGGGCUCAACCCGCGGACGGCACAUGAUACUGCGAGACUAGAGUGAUGGAGGGGGAACCGGAAUUCUCGGUGUAGCAGUGAAAUGCGUAGAUAUCGAGAGGAACACUCGUGGCGAAGGCGGGUUCCUGGACAUUAACUGACGCUGAGGCACGAAGGCCAGGGGAGCGAAAGGGAUUAGAUACCCUAGUAGUC